UACGAAGGGGGCUAGCGUUGCUCGGAAUUACUGGGCGUAAAGGGCGCGUAGGCGGAUAUUUAAGUUGGGGGUGAAAGCCCGGGGCUCAACCUCGGAAUUGCCUUCAAUACUGGAUAUCUUGAGUUCGGGAGAGGUGAGUGGAAUGCCGAGUGUAGAGGUGAAAUUCGUAGAUAUUCGCAAGAACACCAGUGGUGAAGGCGGCUCACUGGCCCGAUACUGACGCUGAGGCACGAAAGCGUGGGGAGCAAACAGGG
rnacentral:rRNA from 1 species